UGGGCGUAGAGGGCUCGCAGGCGGUUUCUUAAGUCUGAUGUGAAAGCCCCCGGCUCAACCGGGGAGGGUCAUUGGAAACUGGGGAACUUGAGUGCAGAAGAGGAGAGUGGAAUUCCACGUGUAGCGGUGAAAUGCGUAGAGAUGUGGAGGAACACCAGUGGCGAAGGCGACUCUCUGGUCUGUAACUGACGCUGAGGAGCGAAAGCGUGGGGAGCGAACAGGAUUAGAUACCCUGGUAGUCCACGCCGUAAACGAUGAGUGCUAAGUGUUAGGGGGUUUCCGCCCCUUAGUGCUGCAGCUAACGCAUUAAGCACUCCGCCUGGGGAGUACGGUCGCAAGACUGAAACUCAAAGGAAUUGACGGGGGCCCGCACAAGCGGUGGAGCAUGUGGUUUAAUUCGAAGCAACGCGAAGAACCUUACCAGGUCUUGACAUCCUCUGACAAUCCUAGAGAUAGGACGUCCCCUUCGGGGGCAGAGUGACAGGUGGUGCAUGGUUGUCGUCAGCUCGUGUCGUGAGAUGUUGGGUUAAGUCCCGCAACGAGCGCAACCCUUGAUCUUAGUUGCCAGCAUUCAGUUGGGCACUCUAAGGUGACUGCCGGUGACAAACCGGAGGAAGGUGGGGAUGACGUCAAAUCAUCAUGCCCCUUAUGACCUGGGCUACACACGUGCUACAAUGGACAGAACAAAGGGCAGCGAAACCGCGAGGUUAAGCCAAUCCCACAAAUCUGUUCUCAGUUCGGAUCGCAGUCUGCAACUCGACUGCGUGAAGCUGGAAUCGCUAGUAAUCGCGGAUCAGCAUGCCGCGGUGAAUA
rnacentral:rRNA from 1 species